GGGUGGUGAAGGUGGUUCCUCAGCCCCCUGACGCCCCUGGUUCUCUGGGAGAGGAGACGGCCAAUCCCGCACCAAGAAACGUGUCUAAAGAUGAAGUGAAAAAAGUCAAGGCACAACCAGCCAAACAGAAGGAAGAUGAUAUUUCUGAGGACAACAGUAUUCAGAGUGGAGUGAUGACCUGGCUCUCCAAUGGAUUCACAAGUGCUCUUCCUCAACCAGCAGGCACACCUAACCUCAGCAGAUCCAACUCUGUAUCCAGGUCACUGCAGGAGGAUGAAAGGAAUGGGGUGAUUAAGUGGAUUGCAGAUGGACUGAGUAAAGUGGUACCCCAGCCAGAUGAAAAGUACAGAGAGGAUAUUCGAGAGGAGGAGGAUGAAACAGAGGUUUAUAACAUGAAAGAUGUGCCGGAUGCAGAGCCCCUCCCACAUAUACCUGUGGUGGAGAUGUUUUCAGAAUAUGAGGAAGAGGAUCAGAUACCACAGUUCCCCCCCAAUGUGGUUAACUGGAUUAAGAAUGCUAUUCCUCAGCCUGUGAUGCUCCCUGCAGGCUACAUAGAGGCCCUAAGUAAGGCCCAACAGGCCCAGGUUCUCUCACCAUCUCCGGAGUCCCUCAAAGGAGAUGAGGACUCACAGAACUCAAAUGUCGUGGGCUGGUUCGUGACGGGCCUCGGCCUCAAGAUGCCACAGCCUGUCACGAGAUCCAGAGAUGAUGUUGAAGUUAUGCCGAAUGGGGGGGUGGGAGUGCUGAGAUCCCCUUAAACAAAAGGAGAAAGAAGACUGAGGAACCGUGAGAGAGACUGAGACUGAGAGCAAAGAGAUAGAGGCAGAAAAACAGACUUACCGACAUAGAUGAUUGUCGACAUUUAUACAGCUCCACUGAGCAACCUGGCAGCUGUGAGACAUCGCUUAAAAAAUAUGUUUAAUUUACCUUACUCUUUAUGGAAUGCAGAUAUUUUUGUUUGAUUUUAAUUGUGUAUAGUCAAUGUAUUAAAAUGAACUGUUUGUCAGUUAAUGUCAGUUGUUCAACUCUUGUCGAUAUGUAGCAAGAAAUGGGUCUUGUCUUCAUUGUAGUAAUCUUUGAAGUAAUUUGGAUGCAUUAAGAGAUCAAGUAUAUUAGAAAAUACAUACAGACACAUAGAGCUAUGAGGCAACAUUGUGACUCAUAGUUUUUGUACAUGAAAUAUACCAUAUUAAACUACUUUUUUGAAGGUAAAGAUUAUUGCUGCCCUAAAAAGCUAACACAAAAACCACUUAAUCAUAUUGUACAUGUUUUCCCUCGUGACCUAUUCUUAUCGCCUUGAACUACGAAUGUGGCCUAAAGUUGUAAUUAUGUUUAUUUUGAUCUGAUAGAUUUUUUUUGGUAUGAAAUCCACAAAAGAGGAUUUGACAAACCGAGUCAAGGGAGUCAAGUUAUUACAAAUAAGUUCAUAAAUUAUGACAUCAUGCCUAAAAAGUAUCCCUGACAGUAUAAUAACGUGUUGUGUAAUAUUAUAAAAAUAAUAUAAAGAUGGCCUCCCGGGUGGCGCAGUGGUCUAGGGCACUGCAUAACAGUGCCAGCUGUGCCACCAGAGACUCGGCUUUCGACCUUCGUCUCUCCUGAGCCCGUACGGGAGUUGUAGCAAUGAGACAAGAUAGUAACUACUAACAAUUGGAUACCACAAAAAAUUGGGGAGAAAAGGGG
ensembl:lncRNA